AAUGGGGAAACCCAGUGUGACUCGUCACACUAUCAUUAACUGAAUCCAUAGGUUAAUGAGGCGAACCGGGGGAACUGAAACAUCUAAGUACCCCGAGGAAAAGAAAUCAACCGAGAUUCCCCCAGUAGCGGCGAGCGAACGGGGAGGAGCCCAGAGCCUGAAUCAGCAUGUGUGUUAGUGGAAGCGUCUGGAAAGGCGCGCGAUACAGGGUGACAGCCCCGUACACAAAAGCGCAUGUGCUGUGAGCUCGAUGAGUAGGGCGGGACACGUGGUAUCCUGUCUGAAUAUGGGGGGACCAUCCUCCAAGGCUAAAUACUCCUGACUGACCGAUAGUGAACCAGUACCGUGAGGGAAAGGCGAAAAGAACCCCGGCGAGGGGAGUGAAAAAGAACCUGAAACCGUGUACGUACAAGCAGUGGGAGCACAGGUUUACCUGUGUGACUGCGUACCUUUUGUAUAAUGGGUCAGCGACUUAUAUUCUGUAGCAAGGUUAACCGAAUAGGGGAGCCGGAGGGAAACCGAGUCUUAAU
rnacentral:rRNA from 1 species